rfam:Picea glauca, whole genome shotgun sequence.
AUGUACAUUCCUAUAGCAUUAAUGCACUGGAUCCCAUUAGAACUCCACAAUUAAGUGCGCUUGGGCUAGAGUAGUAUUGGGAUGGGUGAUCGCCCGAGAAGUCCUAGUGUUUUACAUG